UCAACGGAGAGUUUGAUCCUGGCUCAGGACGAACGCUGGCGGCGUGCUUAACACAUGCAAGUCGAGCGGUAAGGCUCCUUCGGGAGUACACGAGCGGCGAACGGGUGAGUAACACGUGAGCAAUC
rnacentral:rRNA from 1 species